UAAGAAUGUAAAGAAGGGCAACUUCUGAGA
rnacentral:piRNA from 1 species